rnacentral:rRNA from 1 species
AGGGAAUCUUCCGCAAUGGACGAAAGUCUGACGGAGCAACGCCGCGUGAGUGAUGAAGGUUUUCGGAUCGUAAAGCUCUGUUGCCAGGGAAGAACGUCUUCUGGAGUAACUGCCAGGAGAGUGACGGUACCUGAGAAGAAAGCCCCGGCUAACUACGUGCCAGCAGCCGCGGUAAUACGUAGGGGGCAAGCGUUGCCGGAAUUAUUGGGCGUAAAGCGCGCGCAGGCGGCUGUUUAAGUCUGGUGUAUAAUCCUGGGGCUCAACUCCGGGUCGCACUGGAAACUGGAUGGCUUGAGUGCAGAAGAGGAGAGUGGAAUUCCACGUGUAGCGGUGAAAUGCGUAGAGAUGUGGAGGAACACCAGUGGCGAAGGCGGCUCUCCGGUCUGUAACUGACGCUGAGGCGCGAAAGCGUGGGGAGCAAAC